UACGUAGGUGGCGAGCGUUGUCCGGAUUUAUUGGGCGUAAAGCGCGCGAAGGUGGUGUGGUCAGUCUGUCGUGAAAUCUCCCGGCUCAACUGGGAGGGUGCGGUGGAGACGGCCAGACUAGAGGCACUCAGAGGCCGGUGGAAUUCCCGGUGUAGUGGUGGAAUGCGUAGAGAUCGGGAGGAACACCAGUGGCGAAGGCGGCCGGCUGGGGGUGACCUGACGCUGAGGCGCGAAAGCGUGGGGAGCGAACCGG
rnacentral:rRNA from 1 species